GCAGGUUUUCAAUGUUUUUCCAUUAUUUAUGCCAUUUCACUCCUUUUCCAUUUCCUUUAAUCAAUAAUUUUAUGAAAUGAUUGACGCAAGGACCUAGAAAAUCUUCAUGUAAACUGAAUUGAUGAUUCUUUUCUUGCUGUAAUAGAGGACAUCAUUCUUCUUUUAUAAUGCUAAAUGCCAGUCAAAGACAGGAAUAUUUAUACUUUUGAGCACAAUGGUCUGUGCUGUUACAGGUUCAGAUUAUUCCUCUCAUCUCUUAAAGGUUAUGGUCCAGACAGGGGGCUCUUUUUCAAGGCAUACAUCUUAGUUGACUGUCUGAAGCAAUUGCUGAAUCAAAUAAUCAUUUUCUAGCAAACGCUUUGAAGCCUUAAAGAAAAAGCAUUCCCAUUAUUGUUAAGGUACUUAUAAUUUUAAUUAUAAAUCUAGACUUGAAUUAAAAGGAAACCACCUCUACACAUCUGAAUUCUCCAGGGAAAAUUAUCCUUUAUAGUAAUUGAUUCCUGUGGGAGGAUGUUAUCUGGAUUGAACCGUUUCUUCUAUUGCAAUGCAUCUUUGUCAAAUUACAGUAUCCAAUAUAAACAUCAUCUACCCUGUGAAAAACUAAUAAAGUGUUUGCUGACCGACCAACCACUGACGUAUUAGAACCUUAUUUCCUGCAUUAUUUCAUUAUCUCUGGCAGUCUUCAAAUCUUUCAAAAAAUAAAUAGAUUUGAUAAUUUCUUCAUAUAUUGUAAUUUGGAAGUAUUUGGGGCUUGAAAACAUGGGUAGAGUGUAGAAAAAAGAGGCAACGGCCAUGUAGUGCGAUUUUAAAAGUGUCAAGAGAGGUUCUCCUAUGAACAUAAAUCCAAAGCAUGAACAAGUUAUUACUUUAAGUUAAAAGAGAGUGUACACAAAGAAGAUGGCAGUUAAAAUGAAAAUACUUUAUCUCUUAAGGGGUAACAUAUGUAUUUGUUUUCUUUUUAACAUAAAUCCAGUUUACAGAGAGAAUAAGAGUGACAUUAGGCCAAGAUGAGGCUCCUCAUUCUGCUCAUGUGUGGAACUUCUGCCUUGUCACUCUACCAGGAUUCCCUGAAUUCACCUGGCACCUUCAGAACCAAAGGCAUGAACUACUAAAGAAAAGAGAUAAUCGAACUUCAUCAAAAUUAAAACUUCUGCUCUUUGAAAGUCAUUGUCAGAUCUUUAUGUCCUCAGUUAGUUUGGAUGCUUCUUCCCAGAACAAACCCUAUUUGGCAUAGCAUUCACUUUCCAAGUCUCAGUUCUGGAGGCUGCAAAGUCCAAGAUCAAGAGGCCGGCAGACUUGCUGUGGGGGCAGCAGUUGGAGGAGCCUGAAAUCUGGGAGCAGAGACUUGGGCUUUUUCACCCUCUACUUGGAGAAAGCUUGGGAAGGAUUUUCUCAUCUCUGGAUUAGCUGCAGACCUGGCAUCCAAGGGCUUCUCCAACACGGUGAUGUGGGGUACCUCUGGGAAUUCGCCUGACACUAAGGCACGUGCAAUGGGAUGCAAUGGGAUGUUAAUGCUCAAGGGUCACCCUUGGCCAACAGAAGAUGGAAUCCAAAGGAAAAUAUUACAGAAUUAUCAUAUGAAGAAGCAAUCAAGGAGUAUGCAGCCAUAAAAAAAGUCCUGAGUUGCAGAGUUUAUUAAUCUGGAAAGACAGAGUGGUGCCAAUCAUCAGGAAGGCUCCUUGCAGCAUCCAGCCAAGGACCACUAUAUAAUGAGCACCACGAUAAAGACUUUAGACCAAGGACCCCUGCUCACGGCCUGUCCUCUGUGCAUGUGUUCAAACGUUUACAAAGUGUGACACUGGGAAACCUUACAAUUUCGGAUUGGUUGUGGUCUGCUUCGCCUUUCAACCCCCUGCUUCUUACCGGCACUGAGAAAGGGUUACUUUCUUUCUCAGACCUAGAUGCCUGCAGAAGCAUCAGCCAGACGACAGCUCCGUCUUCCUGCCUGAGAGCAGGCAGGUUCCCAGCACUCUCUGAGGUAGAAGUCAGUCACUAGAGCUGCCAAAUCUUCGGACUGUGGAGUAAUUAAGCUUCCAAGUCCUGCUUGACUAC
rnacentral:lncRNA from 1 species